AUACGUAGGGUGCAAGCGUUAUCCGGAAUUAUUGGGCGUAAAGAGCUCGUAGGCGGUUUGUCGCGUCUGCUGUGAAAACUGGAGGCUCAACCUCCAGCUUGCAGUGGGUACGGGCAAACUAGAGUGCGGUAGGGGAGAUUGGAAUUCCUGGUGUAGCGGUGGAAUGCGCAGAUAUCAGGAGGAACACCGAUGGCGAAGGCAGAUCUCUGGGCCGUAACUGACGCUGAGGAGCGAAGGCAUGGGGAGCGAACAGGAUUAGAUACCCUGGUAGUCCAUGCCGUAAACGUUGGGCGCUAGAUGUGGGGACCAUUCCACGGUUUCCGUGUCGCAGCUAACGCAUUAAGCGCCCCGCCUGGGGAGUACGGCCGCAAGGCUAAA
rnacentral:rRNA from 1 species